rnacentral:rRNA from 1 species
ACAAGCGGUGGAGUAUGUGGUUUAAUUCGAUGCAACGCGAAGAACCUUACCUAGGUUUGACAUCCGGAAAACCUUCCCGAAAAGGAAGGGUGGCCCUUCGGGGAAUUCCGAGACAGGUGCUGCAUGGCUGUCGUCAGCUCGUGCCGUGAGGUGUUGGGUUAAGUCCCGCAACGAGCGCAACCCUAUUGCCAGUUGCUACCAGGUAAUGCUGGGCACUCUGGUGAGACUGCCCCGGUUAACGGGGAGGAAGGUGGGGACGACGUCAAGUCAUCAUGGCCCUUACGCCUAGGGCUACACACGUACUACAAUGGCGCAUACAAAGGGCAGCGAUACCGCGAGGUGGAGCCAAUCCCAAAAAGUGCGUCCCAGUCCGGAUUGCAGUCUGCAACUCGACUGCAUGAAGUUGGAAUCGCUAGUAAUUCGAGAUCAGCAUGCUCGGGUGAAUGCGUUCCCGGGCCUU